rnacentral:rRNA from 1 species
GACGAACGCUGGCGGCGUGCUUAACACAUGCAAGUCGAACGAUGAACCCGGAGCUUGCUCCGGUGGAUUAGUGGCGAACGGGUGAGUAACACGUUAGUAACCUGCCCUUGACUCUGGGAUAACUGCGGGAAACUGUAGCUAAUACCGGAUACGACCCUCGGCGGCAUCGCCAGGGGGUGGAAAGAAUUUCGGUCAAGGAUGGACUCGCGGCCUAUCAGCUAGUUGGUGAGGUAACGGCUCACCAAGGCAACGAUGCGUAGCCGACCUGAGAGGGUGAUCGGCCACACUGGGACUGAGACACGGCCCAAACUCCUACGGGAGGCAGCAGUGGGGAAUAUUGGACAAUGGGCGCAAGCCUGAUCCAGCCAUGCCGCGUGAGUGAUGAAGGCCUUAGGGUUGUAAAGCUCUUUCGUCCGGGACGAUAAUGACGGUACCGGAAGAAGAAGCCCCGGCUAACUUCGUGCCAGCCGCCGCCGUAA